UACGUAGGGUGCAAGCGUUAAUCGGAAUUACUGGGCGUAAAGCGCGCGCAGGCGGCUUGGUAAGUUGGGGGUGAAAUCCCUGGGCUCAACCCAGGAAUGGCCUUCAAGACUGCUUGGCUGGAGGACGAGAGAGGUGAGUGGAAUUCCCAGUGUAGAGGUGAAAUUCGUAGAUAUUCGGAAGAACACCAGUGGCGAAGGCGGCUCACUGGCCCGGUACUGACGCUGAGAUACGAAAGCGUGGGGAGCAAACAGG
rnacentral:rRNA from 1 species